rnacentral:lncRNA from 1 species
UGUCAUUCAUUCUCCAGCCAGCCUUAAUCCUUCCCAAGGUGUUGCACCUUCACUGGUUUUUCAUACAGAGAUGAUUUGGAAAAGGUUCCAAAGAAAUCGAUGUUGGAAGAUAGCUGAGCUGGAAAAAGGACGAUGCUUUGGGCCUGCAGUAAAGAAGUGACAGGGACUGAAUCCUACGGAAGUAAAUAAACUUGGUUUAAAACAUCUUCAUACGUGCCCGCGAAGGCAGGGAGAUGUUGUAAGGGAAUACCUGUUUAAGGCUGGCGUUUGGUUCCGGAGUGUAGCGGCAUUUGAAGAAACUUAGGGUGUAUGCUUAAAAAUACUGCGAAGACUGGAUCUUCGGUAGCAUGGAUCGCUAUUUUAAAAAUACAUUUAGUGUUUAAUUUGUAGAACUCCAUAUAUACGACUACUUUAGGAACUGAUUUUCUUUUAAACUAAGUAACUGAGAUCAAGUAAUUUUGCCCAGUGUCUCAAAUGAACUGUGAUUUUUUUUCCAGUUACUAAAACAAUGCUGUGUGUUUUUUUUUCAGAGUCUAUCUACACUAUGAAAAGAUGGGAAAUUUCUUCCUGAAAGUGUCUGAAGGGCUAAAAAUGCUGAUAUAUUUGUGCUGUUAAAUGUUUCAUUUUGCAUGUUAUUGUGAAAACAAAAGUAACGAAUUACUGGGUCGGUAGAGCUAUGCACUUCACCUGUUAGGAGUUAAAAUUAUUGCUGAUAAAUGGAUUAUAUCAAAGAAAGGCUAGGGGUCGAAUCAGAGCUACACCUGCCAGCCUACACCACAGCCAUUCCAGAUCCCAGCCAAGUCUGCAACAUACACCAUAGCUCAAGGCAACGCUGGAUCCUUAACCCACUUAGCGAGAAGUCCAGGGAUCAAACCCGCAACCUCAUGGUUCCUAGUCGGAUUUGUUUCCAGUGUGCCACGAUGGGAACUCCUGUUUCAUUUUUAAACAAAGGUAAUAUGUAUUAGUCUCACUUGUCCAUGAAUACAAUAAUGAGAAAGGCUCAUGAAAUUAUUUGUUAUCCAGAAAUAACCUUUGCAAGUAAUGUUGGUAAGUAUAGGAAAAGGAAAAAAUCUUUACCAUUUUCUUUCUCAUCUUCAGUAUAACUGUGGUAUUUUAAGCUUAAUAGAGAUAAACUGAACAGAUUUACAUUUAGACUUAGUUUCACAUUCUUACAGAUUAUUUUUAGGGCUUGGUGAAUCAGGAGUGUUUUUAUGUCUUAGACAAACUUUAUUUUGUAAGAUACUUCUUUAUAUAAGCAAUAACCUCAAUUUGAGUUACUGUGGAAGACAAAUUUGUGAAGGAAAUGGAACCCAGCAGAUUUCUCAGAAAUAGUAUAUGUGAGAAACGCGACUUGUAUAAUGCAGUGAUUUCUAUAAUUCGUCAUAUGUUUGGGUAAUUAGAAAUUUUUCCAGCCUUAUAGUCAUUGAACAUCUAACCAUAAAGAAAUGAGACAAAUCUAGUUAAUAGCCCUAAAAACAACCCCAUGACUCUUUUAGGAAAAAAAAAUCCUGGCACUCCAUAGCAAUUUUAUUUACAACACUAGUAUUCGAGAAGUUGGUGAUGCCAGCUUCUGAAAGAAUAACCUCAGUGUCCUGGAGAAAACUUGGAUUAGGAAAAGUGAAAUUAGAAAUGCCUUCAGUAGAUAAAGAAACCUACCUUCUUUCUACCUCUCAAAAUUUGAUUUGUAUUAUAAAUAGCUUGUUAAAAGAGUAUUGAGUUACUUCUGUUAGAGCAAGGGUUUUUGCAACGGGGCUAAGUGUCUGGAUUGCCUAUAGAACUCUAGAAGUGUUUAGCUUAUUGCCCACGCAUCCUAGC